CUCUAAACCCUCGGUGUACAGGAUGCGCGUGCACUUGUUUGGGGCAGCUUCAUCACCCGGCUGCUCCAACUUUGCCCUCAAGCACCUUGCCGCACAAGGCCGCGGCCACUACAAUGAAGAGGCGAUAAGGUUCAUCCAGAGAAGUUUUUACGUUGAUGAUGGCCUAACAAGUGUUUCCACAACCACAGAGGCAAUCAGCCUGAUCAAAGAAUCAAGAGCCCUAUGCAGAACGGGAAACUUGAGACUACACAAGUUUGUGUCAAACAGUAAGGAUGUGAUCAACUCAGUGCCACCAACAGAAUGUACUCAAGUCAAGGAUCAAGACAUAGCACUAGGAGAACACAUCGAACGAGCCCUCGGUGUCCAGUGGUGUGUUGAAGCAGACGAGUUCCAAUUCAGAAUCAUCGUGAAGGACAAACCACUCACUAGAAGAGGAGUGCUCUCAACUAUCGCCUCUGUCUUCGACCCACUUGGCUUUGUGGCGCCAUUCAUACUGCUCGGUAAGCAGAUUCUUCAAACACUGUGCAGCGAGAAGGUAACCUGGGACGAAGCGCUUCCAGAACACGUUCGCCCACGGUGGGAGUCAUGGCUGAGAGACUUACCUGAGCUGGCAUCUUUGAAAAUCCCAAGAAGUUACUCACCUGAAGAAUUCGGGAAGACUUCAAAGUAUGAACUACACAACUUUUCAGACGCAAGUUGCAUAGGCUACGGUGCCUGCUCGUACCUUCGAGUCACAAGUGAAACCGGACAGGUCAGCUGUUCACUCAUCAUGGGAAAGUCGAGGGUCGCCCCCACGAAACUGACCACAAUCCCAAGACUUGAACUAUCAUCUGCAGUCACCUCUGUGCGCAGUGGUGACUCCAUCAGAGGAGAGCUGGAAAUAGAAGCUCUGCCAGAGUACUACUGGACUGAUUCAAAGGUAGUACUAGGCUAUGUGAAUAAUGAUGCCAAGAGAUUCCAUACAUUCGUUGCGAACCGCAUACAGCGAAUCAAAUCAAGUACCGACUCUGCACAAUGGCACCAUGUCAGCUCCGAAGACAACCCAGCAGACCUGGCGUCUAGAGGAGCCAGUGCAGCCCAAUUGAAGGACUCUUGUUGGUUGAAGGGACCAGACUUCCUUUGGCAACCCAAUCUGUCAAUUAAAGAACCAAUAGUAGAAAUGGAUGAUGCUGACCCAGAACUGCGGAAAGCCUAUGUUCAUACUGUCAAAGUCGAAAUCAAAAACCCAUUGCUCAGCCAUCUAAGUAAGUUCUCAGACUGGUCAAGAGCUGUGAAGGCUGUCGCUAGACUAAAGAAAUACAUCAGGAAACGUAGUGGAGGUCAAGUAGGGACCGGCGAAACUACAAACCUGGAAGAGAGACGCGAAGCAGAGCUGUUCAUCAUCAAGCUUACACAAGAGGAAGCCUUUGCUGAUGAACUAAAGAAAAUCAAAUGCAACGGAGCUAAAAAACUCUGCAAGCGCAACAAGCUCUACCGACUGAACGCCUACCUUGAUGUGAAUGAUAUCCUCAGGGUGGGAGGACGGUUGUCUCAGUCAGCUCUGCACCACGAUGUGAAGCAUCCAGCAAUACUGCCACGGAAAGCACACGUGUCAGACCUGAUUGUCAAGUAUCACCAUGAACGUGUACACCACCAAGGAAGAGGGAUGACAAUGAACGAGAUACGCGCAAAUGGCAUAUGGAUUCUUGGAUGCGGAAGUGUCGUCUCCUCUCACAUCUACAAGUGCGUCCCAUGCAGAAAGUAUAGGAGAACCACAGAAGUUCAACAAAUGGCAGAUCUCCCAGAAGAGAGAACUCUGACAAGUCCUCCAUUUACCUACUGCGGACUCGACUGCUUUGGUCCAUUCCUUGUGAAAGAAGGAAGAAAAGAACUUAAACGAUAUGGGUUGAUCUUUACCUGCUUAUGCUCUAGAGCAGUGCAUAUAGAGACCCUAGACGACAUGACCACUGAUGCGUUCAUUAACGCCCUCAGAACACUCAUAGCCAUCAGAGGCCCUGUGCGACAACUGAGGUGUGAUCAGGGGACAAAUUUUAUGGGUGCUAGAAGAGAGUUUGCAGAGCUACUCAAGGGCAUGGAUCAAGAGCGCCAAAGGGAAAUCGGUUGUGAAUUCAUUGUGAACAUCCCAUCAGCAAGUCAUAUGGGUGGAGUCUGGGAGCGCCAAAUUCGAACAAUUAGAAGCAUCCUGACGACCAUGUUCGACAAGUGGGCAAACAGACUUGACACCACAAGCUUGAAGACGCUCAUGUACGAAACGAUGGCCAUUAUCAACAGCCGACCUUUGAGUGUUGAACAUCUCCACGACCCAACAGCUCCAGAGCCUCUUACGCCAAACCAUAUUCUCACCAUGAAAUCUGCAGUCAUACUGCCACCUCCUGGACAGUUCUGUAAAGAGGAUCUGUAUCUGCACAAGAGAUGGAGAAAGGUGCAGUUCUUGGCGAAUGAAUUCUGGCAAAGAUGGAAGCGAGAAUAUCUGCUGAACCAACAACAACGUCAGAAAUGGCACGGACCAUCAAGGAACUCACAAGUGAACGACAUUGUGAUCCUCAAGGACGAGUGCGCCCCAAGAAAUGAAUGGAAGCUCGCAAGAGUAAUCGAAGCUCAGCCUGGAAGAGAUGGCAAAGUGCGCAAGCUGAAGCUGGUGCUCAGUGAGACUUCUGUCGACAAGGGCAAACCUCACACAAGACUGAUUCAUUUAGAAAGACCUAUUCACAAAAUAGUAACGCUAGUAGAAGCCGUUUAGGACGCACACACACACACAGGCUACACACACAGUCAUGCACACACGCACACAGAUACUUAAAACUGGUGAAGAUAAAAGGGAGAAAUCCCACAUCUCAGGUCAAUGAGUGAUUUGGUGGGAGUGUAGCUGUUGCUGAAAGAGUACUUUAAAUAGGGUACAUGUCAUAUUAUAUAAAUGCUUUAAAUAUGUGUAAAUAAAUAAAUAUUAAUAAAUAAGUUCAUGAUGAGCAAGGUUAUAAAAUAUGAUUACAAAUGUGUGAUUGUUCAUCUCCUGGAGAGAACGUAUGUGUAUUUUGUUAAUUGUGUUGCAAGGCGGAACAAUUGUUGUAAUGUUACGCCCCCCACGGACUGAUAAGAGGAGAGAACAUGCAAGAAAGUUGGAGCCAUAAGCACGUUGUCUUCAGCUCCUCAAAAGAUUUACAAGUUAAAUGCACUGUAUGAUAAGAAACUUCAAGCAAACCUCUGUUAGAACCUCUUUUCGUUACAAGCAGCCAACGAGGUGCGGGUGCGGGCGCAGCUGCUGCAGGUGCAGGAGGAGCAACUGCAGUUGCACUUCUCAUCUAAAAUCAACUGUAGCCUAAUCGAUAUGCUCUCGUCUCGUCAAACUGAUUUGUUGGGGCAUUUGUGGAAUGGGGCUGGUGACCAUCAUUUUAAGAAUGUCAAUUGACCUUGAAUAAAAUUCUGAAGCCAAAUUAGUUUCUCGUUGAUUAUGCCUAUAUACGCAAUGUAGCCAUCUACACAAAAUUUGUUUCUCGUUCUCAGAGGGAGAGUUCAGCAUAUUGUGGCUGAAUUUCAGAGCUGUCCUGAACACAGCAAGAACAGAACACCUUUGCUGUAACAAUAAACACCUGAACUGGUUACCUUUAAUUUC